rnacentral:tRNA from 1 species
GCGGAUAUGAUGAAAUUGGUAGACAUGUUAGAUUUAGGUUCUGAUGAUUAUUAAAUCAUGAGGGUUCAAAUCCCUCUAUCCGUA